ensembl:snRNA U6 U6 spliceosomal RNA
GUGCUCACUUCAGCAGCACAUAUACUAAAAUUGGAACAAUAUAGAGAUUAGCACGGCCCCCACACAAGGAUGACACAUAGAUUUGUGAAGCAUUCCAUAAUUUA